rnacentral:lncRNA from 1 species
UAUCUCUGUGUGAGUCGAUGCAGCCAGCUGCAGGCAUCUGGGUAAGCGCGUGCUCAAGUAUUUUAACGUGCGGAAGCCUUGGUUUAACAACAAAUGGGUGCUUCAUUGCAGAGUGCCUGCCCCGAGGAGCGCGAGGAGCAUGGGGAGAGAGGCGGCAGAGGGACAGCCAUCAAACUGCCUGGGGUUUGCUCAGCAAAGCAGCGUGUUUCAUUAAUCGGUUCCAGCACUAAUUGAAGGCCUGUGUGGUCAGCGGUCUGGUCCCCCAGCCCUCCUGCAGGUGCUGGUUGACUUCAAGCAAAUUAAAGAGAAUUUCAGGAUGUUUCCAGUCCCAUAAAACGGCAAUGACCAGAAAUGCUUCUGCUGAAAACCAGAAGAAUAUUAGCAAGGACUUCUGUAGCAUGGCUGGGCAGCUGCUGAGAGGAGGUAGCAGAUCAUGUGGCAGCGGCUCCAAGCCUUCCAGAAGCACCUGCAGGCUUUGGUCUGACGGGCACACAGCAGAGGAUGCAUGGCCAGGAGCCCCUCCGUGGCAAGAACUAAAAUAAGAGAAGACGUGUGACUGUAUCAAACAGAAAAUGAGUUUAUUAAAGGAAACGCAGGGAGCGAGGUACAGCUGGAUGUUUUGCCUCUGUGCAUAGAGCAUGAACGUGAUUCACCCGGCACAGUUCGGAUGAUGUACAGUGUCUGGCACUCCAGUCAGGGAAAUCCUGGCUGUUAGUUGCGUAGAAUAGCACCUAGAUGCUGCAGGGCAGGCUGGAGACCAUGGAGCUAUACAGGUAUAAAAAUAGCCCCUUCCCCAUGCAUGUUACAUGUAGCUAGGCAGAGGAGUGUCAUGUACUGCAGAUACUCCAGAGAGGAGAGCUGAGAUCUUCUGGAGCUUGAGAGACUUCAGAACUAAUUUAAUCGAUUGCUGGUAUGUAGUUACAAAUCUAAAAAAAGGAAAUAAAUGCUAGUAGAUCUGCGGAGGGUCUAGAGUG